rnacentral:lncRNA from 10 species
CGGCGGGACUGGCCCUGCGCCCGGGCACCGCCUGCGCUGCGCCGCCCGGCCUCACUCCGCGGCCCGCCAGGACCCGGCCCCGGUGAACGGGCUCGGGGUGCCGAGGUCCGGCUGCGGGGCCGGGAAGCCACCUCCACCUUGCCGUCUGUUACGACCCCCGAGGCGCAAGGCUGAGCCCCAUCUCGCUAUCCGGGUCCGGAGGGGUUCACCUUAGAAGGAUUUUUUGAAGCUCUUGGCGCUGGCUCUAAAAGAACCCACUUCCUUGCGGAUUUCAGGAGUCAAGAAUCCUUAAACGGAGCCAAUUUGCUUUGUAAAGCCAAUUGCCCAAGUGACUUGAGUUCGAAAGGAGAUACUUCCUGGACAACUGCUAUAAAAACAACAACAAAUACUUUUAUUAAUUCGGGGAGCCUGGUCACCAACUGGAUGCUCAGGGGAGAUGGAACCCUGAGCAGCCCAUGUACAUGGAAGAUCUUUAUUGCAGAGAUCUUCAAACCAGAUGGCUCGCAGAGAUUGAGGAACUUGCCCAAGGCUACGCAGCUUGAUCUUCUAAGGGUGUGAGGAUACAGGCGUCAAAGACCCCGUGCUGAGACAGCUCCAUAACAACAUGCAGAUAUUUGGCAAUGAGGGUUCAGAAGAGGACUUGCUGUGGAGAAGAGAGAAAAGAGAUGGGAAGACUCUGUGAAUGAAUAGAGAACACUCUGCAAGCAUCCCAGUUCCUUUGGUUGCCCUGCAGUCUGCAGGUACCAGGAGAAAUCAAAAGCCGCCUGGAAGGGCUUUCUGUCUGUAUGGAGUCAAGGCAGUGUCUUCAAAUCUGUGCUUUCUAAAACAAAGAAAUAACCUUGAUGAAACAAAUUUUCCCCAGAGGAAGGGGAGAGCCCACAGUGAGCUGGUAAAGAAGAUGCCUGGAGCAGGCAGCAUCCUCAAAUGGAAGGUAAUUGCCCUCAAAUCACUUAACUAGGAUGACCUACUUUGCUUUCCUGUAUAGCCAGGUCUGUUAUCAGACCCUUAUCUUGGGAGGCAUCGUGCCAGAGCCUGGGGCAAGAAAGGGCUGCUAUCCAGGAAUGCAGGUGAAAUUAUAGCUAUUAGCCCUGUCUUAGAGUGUGAGGAAAAUGUGCCCCCCUACCCCUGGCUAAGUUUGGGUUCCCAUGUCAUAAACUGCCUCCCUCUCUGAUAGCUCUGCAUAAACAUCCCAGGAACUCAAAGUAACAUUUGAUUUCCCAAAGAGAACAUUUGCAUUUGUAACUGUCAGAAAUAGGAGAGAUCAUCAAAGCUAAAUGAAUUGGGCUAUAAACAGUUUGAAAUAUGUCUUUAAAUUUUAAAAAACAUAUUUUUUGUUUGUUUUGGGGAGAGAGGAUCAUUUAGACUCAACAACAAAACAGAAAACUGUGAGUGCCAUUUUGAGACAAGACCUACCUGGUCCUUCCCCCUCAUACUUUCUGCUACCCCGUGACCUCCCUCUCUCCUUCCAGUCACAGAUUAUCCGCUUGGUUUUGGAGUUUUAAAUGUGUGGUCCUGAGAGGGAGAGGAGAGCAAGAGAAUCUCAAGAUAGAUUUGGAAGAUUAGGGUAAGACAGUGAGGGUACUAGAAGUGCUUUCCCAAGUGAGUCCCCAGAAGGGAGGGAAAAUAUCCAUGGAGAAGGGGCAGUGUGGUUGGUCCUGGCUAAAGGGCCUGAACAGCAGAGGCUAUUGCAGCCCUGCAUAGCACAGGGCAAUGGAAUAACUUCAUAGGCCCCCAAACUGCAUGGAAGCAGAUAGGGUCUUAGAAGCACGGGGUUGCUUUCCUGGACCUGGUGUGGCUUGGAAGCCACAAAAUGUUUCCUGUGCACCUACAAGAGUGUAAGAAAACCACUGGAUAGGAAAGGACCUUGCAGACUGGAAUGAGUCAUCAUGCAGACCAAAGUCUACCUCAGUGGAUGGCAGUGUGGAUGGAUAGGGACAGAUGUCCGGAUACUGUCUGUCGUGUGCACUCCCACCCCAGCCUUUUGGUAUUCCUGGUACAAAGAUAUAACUCUUAGGAAAAACAGAAACCCUAAAUAGGCUGAGAUUAAGUUUCUUUCACCUGGAAGAAUGAAGACUAUGGUAGAUUUUGAGUUAUAAAACUCAAAUUUUUGCAUUUCUUGAACACCUAAGUCUAUGGACUGAUAUUAGCACCAGCUGCAGAAAUAAGCACAGUUCUCACCACUUUUCAAUUUGAAUGCAGAAGGAGCCUUGUCUGGCCAUAGCUCUGCCCUCUACAGUGGAAAACAUAACUUUAGUGGAAUUUAGAGAUCUUUGAGUAAAGACAGAAGAAUAGCAAAGUCUGUUAUUUACCACCUCACUUUUUUUGUACAAAUAUUUGAAAGCAUUUUCGCAUUAUACAAUACAAUUUGUUUCUAUUUUGAGGCAAACACAUCUGUUAGAGGAAUUAUUGCAUUUCUUCCCCCUAGAAAGCUGUCUCCUUAAUCUUUCCACAAAGUCUUGAGAAUGUUAGCUUCUUUUUCUACAUUGUUGGAAAUCACAGCGUGGUGUUCCUCCUGACGGCACUCCCACCUUCAUCAUUCUGUGCUUACAGUUUCACCACAUUCCAUUGUUCUAAUGAGGUGACUGAGUGGAAGCUGAGGUUAGAAGAUAAAACUUAGAACAGGAGCAGCCCUUGGCUCCUUUCCCUUGGAGGGUGCUUCAAAAGAGGUGAAGUUUUCAAAGAUAGAACUUCAGGGAGAGGGUUUUGUGUUCCGGCUUCGAAGUGGCAAUUCUUUCCUGAGUUGUCACCUGGACUAUCUUACCAUAUUUCCUGGUUGAAUGAUUCCUCUAAAUCUUAUCUUAGCCUGGCCAAAUAUCCCUGGUCCCUUUGAUAUCUAAGUUUUCUGGCCAAGAAGCAAAUUCCUGUAGUUCCAAAUCAGUAGCUCAAGUUCCUGGGUCAGACUACCCGCAGGCCCUCAAGUUGCUGUCUGGUUGUCGUCUAAAAAGUUGAUGUCACAGGCCAGUUGAUAUCAAAGAGUCCUGGGUUUAAAAACUGACUCAGGACUUCUAAUUGUAAGGCCUUACACAAGUUAUGUGACAAUUCUUAACCUAAGUUUCCUCAGCUAUAAAGUGGGGAUUAUAGCAAUAUCCCACAAUACCUCUGACAAUGAAAUAAUGUGUAUAUAUUGCUUGGCACCGGAUAUGGUUUGGAUCUGUAUCCCCAUCCAAAUCUCAUGUUGAAAUGUAAUCUGUUAUGUUGGAGGUGGGACCUGGUGGGAGGUGAUUGAAUCAUGGGGGUGGUUUCUAAUGGUUUAUCACUGUCUCCCUAGAGCUGUUCUCAUGAUAGAGUUCUCGUGAGAUCUGGUUGUCUAAAAGUGUGUGGCACCUCCCCACCCCACUUUUCCUCCUGCUCCAGCAAUGUUCAAUGUGCCUGCUUCCUGUUCACCUUCUGCCAUGAUUGUAAGUUUCCUGAGGCCUCCCCUGCCAUGCCUCCUGUACAGCCUGUGGAACUAUGAGCCAAUUAAACCUCUUUUCUUUAUAAAUUGCCCAGCCUCAGGUAUUCUUUAUAGCAGUACAAGAACCAAUACAGCACCUAAUAGGCAUUCAACAAAUAGUAAUUCCCUGCUCCUUCUGCCUAAGCAGACAUGCAUGGGUUUGUGUAUCUAAACUGUAGGACUUUACAAAGACUAAAAUGGAAUUUUUUGAGGCA